rnacentral:rRNA from 1 species
CGAAUGCUGACAUAAGUAACGAUAAUGCGGGUGAAAAACCCGCACGCCGGAAGACCAAGGGUUCCUGUCCAACGUUAAUCGGGGCAGGGUGAGUCGACCCCUAAGGCGAGGCCGAAAGGCGUAGUCGAUGGGAAACAGGUUAAUAUUCCUGUACUUGGUGUUACUGCGAAGGGGGGACGGAGAAGGCUAUGUUAGCCGGGCGACGGUUGUCCCGGUUUAAGCAUGUAGGCGGAGGUUCCAGGUAAAUCCGGUACCUUUUUAACGCUGAGGUGUGAUGACGAGGCACUACGGUGCUGAAGUAACAAAUGCCCUGCUUCCAGGAAAAGCCUCUAAGCAUCAGGUAACACGAAAUCGUACCCCAAACCGACACAGGUGGUCAGGUAGAGAAUACCAAGGCGCUUGAGAGAACUCGGGUGAAGGAACUAGGCAAAAUGGUGCCGUAACUUCGGGAGAAGGCACGCUGAUAUGUAGGUGAAGUGAUUUACUCAUGGAGCUGAAAUCAGUCGAAGAUACCAGCUGGCUGCAACUGUUUAUUAAAAACACAGCACUGUGCAAACACGAAAGUGGACGUAUACGGUGUGACGCCUGCCCGGUGCCGGAAGGUUAAUUGAUGGGGUUAUCCGUAAGGAGAAGCUCUUGAUCGAAGCCCCGGUAAACGGCGGCCGUAACUAUAACGGUCCUAAGGUAGCGAAAUUCCUUGUCGGGUAAGUUCCGACCUGCACGAAUGGCGUAAUGAUGGCCAGGCUGUCUCCACCCGAGACUCAGUGAAAUUGAACUCGCUGUGAAGAUGCAGUGUACCCGCGGCAAGACGGAAAGACCCCGUGAACCUUUACUAUAGCUUGACACUGAACACUGGUCCUUGAUGUGUAGGAUAGGUGGGAGGCUUUGAAGUGUGGACGCCAGUCUGCAUGGAGCCAUCCUUGAAAUACCACCCUUUAAUGGCUGGUGUUCUAACGUGGACCCGUAAUCCGGGUUGCGGACAGUGUCUGGUGGGUAGUUUGACUGGGGCGGUCUCCUCCUAAAGAGUAACGGAGGAGCACGAAGGUUAGCUAAUCCUGGUCGGACAUCAGGAGGUUAGUGCAAAGGCAUAAGCUAGCUUGACUGCGAGAGUGACGGCUCGAGCAGGUGCGAAAGCAGGUCUUAGUGAUCCGGUGGUUCUGAAUGGAAGGGCCAUCGCUCAACGGAUAAAAGGUACUCCGGGGAUAACAGGCUGAUACCGCCCAAGAGUUCAUAUCGACGGCGGUGUUUGGCACCUCGAUGUCGGCUCAUCACAUCCUGGGGCUGAAGUAGGUCCCAAGGGUAUGGCUGUUCGCCAUUUAAAGUGGUACGCGAGCUGGGUUUAGAACGUCGUGAGACAGUUCGGUCCCUAUCUGCCGUGGGCGCUGGAGAAUUGAGGGGGGCUGCUCCUAGUACGAGAGGACCGGAGUGGACGCAUCACUGGUGUUCGGGUUGUCAUGCCAAUGGCAUUGCCCGGUAGCUAAAUGCGGAAGAGAUAAGUGCUGAAAGCAUCUAAGCACGAAACUUGCCCCGAGAUGAGUUCUCCCUGAGACUU